rnacentral:sRNA from 1 species
AGCGGGCGCCAGAGAUUUGGCCGUGAAUGGUUAUGAGAAAUCCUCAUCUUUAAUCAAGGAGAAGGUUUUGGUUGGUCGUUUCUCACCCGAGAACCUCAACCAGGCAUUCAAUCAGACACGCAACAUUGCCUUGGAUUAUUAUAACCAGCUUCACAAAAAGAUCGAUGCGUAUGCCAAGCUUAAAUGAUUCUAAGCGUCUGGAACGUAGAGCAUUCAUUACAACAACAACAGCAACAACA